rnacentral:rRNA from 1 species
UGGGGAAUAUUGCACAAUGGGCGCAAGCCUGAUGCAGCCAUGCCGCGUGUAUGAAGAAGGCCUUCGGGUAGUAAAGUACUUUCAGUCGGGAGGAAGGUGGUAAGGUUAAUAACCUUAUCAAUUGACGUUACCGACAGAAGAAGCACUGGCUAACUCCGUGCCAGCAGCCGCGGUAAUACGGAGGGUGCAAGCGUUAAUCGGAAUUACUGGGCGUAAAGCGCACGCAGGCGGUUUGUUAAGUCAGAUGUGAAAUCCCCGGGCUCAACCUGGGAACUGCAUCUGAUACUGGCAAGCUUGAGUCUCGUAGAGGGGGGUAGAAUUCCAGGUGUAGCGGUGAAAUGCGUAGAGAUCUGGAGGAAUACCGGUGGCGAAGGCGGCCCCCUGGACGAAGACUGACGCUCAGGUGCGAAAGCGUGGGGAGCAAACAGG